rnacentral:rRNA from 1 species
UACGUAGGGUGCGAGCGUUAAUCGGAAUUACUGGGCGUAAAGCGUGCGCAGGCGGUUUUGUAAGCCAGGUGUGAAAUCCCCAGGCUUAACCUGGGAAUGGCAUUUGGGACUGCAAGGCUGGAGUGUGGCAGAGGAGACUGGAAUUCCUGGUGUAGCAGUGAAAUGCGUAGAUAUCAGGAGGAAUACCGAUGGCGAAGGCAGGUCUCUGGGCUGACACUGACGCUCAUGCACGAAAGCGUGGGGAGCAAACAGG